rnacentral:rRNA from 2 species
CUGGCGCUUGCGUCGGGGAUUAGUGGCGAACGGGUGAGUAACACGUGAGUAACCUGCCCUUAACUCUGGGAUAAGCCUUGGAAACGGGGUCUAAUACUGGAUAUUGACUUUACCUCGCAUGGGGUUUGGUUGAAAGAUUUAUUGGUUUUGGAUGGACUCGCGGCCUAUCAGCUUGUUGGUGAGGUAAUGGCUCACCAAGGCGACGACGGGUAGCCGGCCUGAGAGGGUGACCGGCCACACUGGGACUGAGACACGGCCCAGACUCCUACGGGAGGCAGCAGUGGGGAAUAUUGCACAAUGGGCGAAAGCCUGAUGCAGCGACGCCGCGUGAGGGAUGACGGCCUUCGGGUUGUAAACCUCUUUCAGUAGGGAACAAGGCCAGCAUUUUUGUUGGUUGAGGGUACUUGCAGAAGAAGCGCCGGCUAACUACGUGCCAGCAGCCGCGGUAAUACGUAGGGCGCAAGCGUUAUCCGGAAUUAUUGGGCGUAAAGAGCUCGUAGGCGGUUUGUCGCGUCUGCCGUGAAAGUCCGGGGCUCAACCCCGGAUCUGCGGUGGGUACGGGCAGACUAGAGUGAUGUAGGGGAGACUGGAAUUCCUGGUGUAGCGGUGAAAUGCGCAGAUAUCAGGAGGAACACCGAUGGCGAAGGCAGGUCUCUGGGCAUUAACUGACGCUGAGGAGCGAAAGCAUGGGGAGCGAACAGGAUUAGAUACCCUGGUAGUCCAUGCCGUAAACGUUGGGCACUAGGUGUGGGGGACAUUCCACGUUUUCCGCGCCGUAGCUAACGCAUUAAGUGCCCCGCCUGGGGAGUACGGCCGCAAGGCUAAAACUCAAAGGAAUUGACGGGGGCCCGCACAAGCGGCGGAGCAUGCGGAUUAAUUCGAUGCAACGCGAAGAACCUUACCAAGGCUUGACAUGAACCGGUAAUACCUGGAAACAGGUGCCCCGCUUGCGGUCGGUUUACAGGUGGUGCAUGGUUGUCGUCAGCUCGUGUCGUGAGAUGUUGGGUUAAGUCCCGCAACGAGCGCAACCCUCGUUCUAUGUUGCCAGCACGUAAUGGUGGGGACUCAUAGGAGACUGCCGGGGUCAACUCGGAGGAAGGUGAGGACGACGUCAAAUCAUCAUGCCCCUUAUGUCUUGGGCUUCACGCAUGCUACAAUGGCCGGUACAAUGGGUUGCGAUACUGUGAGGUGGAGCUAAUCCCAAAAAGCCGGUCUCAGUUCGGAUUGGGGUCUGCAACUCGACCCCAUGAAGUCGGAGUCGCUAGUAAUCGCAGAUCAGCAACGCUGCGGUGAAUACGUUCCCGGGCCUUGUACACACCGCCCGUCAAGUCACGAAAGUUGGUAACACCCGAAGCCGGUGGCCUAA